rnacentral:sRNA from 1 species
GCUGGGUAUGGUGGCGUACACCUGUAAUCCCAGUGGCUUGGGAGGCUGAGGCGGGAGGAUUGUGAGCCCAAAGCCAGUCUCAG